rnacentral:rRNA from 1 species
GACGAACGCUGGCGGCGUGCUUAACACAUGCAAGUCGAACGGGAAGGCCCUGCUUUUGUGGGGUGCUCGCGUGGCGAACGGGUGAGUAACACGUGAGUAACCUGCCCUUGACUUUGGGAUAACUUCAGGAAACUGGGGCUAAUACCGGAUAGGAGCUCCUGCUGCAUGGUGGGGGUUGGAAAGUUUCGGCGGUUGGGGAUGGACUCGCGGCUUAUCAGCUUGUUGGUGGGGUAGUGGCUUACCAAGGCUUUGACGGGUAGCCGGCCUGAGAGGGUGACCGGCCACAUUGGGACUGAGAUACGGCCCAGACUCCUACGGGAGGCAGCAGUGGGGAAUAUUGCACAAUGGGCGGAAGCCUGAUGCAGCAACGCCGCGUGCGGGAUGACGGCCUUCGGGUUGUAAACCGCUUUCGCCUGUGACGAAGCGUGAGUGACGGUAAUGGGUAAAGAAGCACCGGCUAACUACGUG